rnacentral:rRNA from 1 species
CAAUAGCGUAUACUAAAGUUGUUGCGAUUAAAAAGCUCGUAGUUGGAUCUCAGGCAUGGGCGCACGGUCCGCCUCGCGGCGGUCACUGUGUGUUUUGUUUCCCAUCCUACGCUUCCCGGUUAUCAGCCCAUGGUGCUCUUCACUGAGCGUUUUGGGUGGCCGGAACGUUUACUUUGAAGAAAUUAGAGUGUUCAAAGCUGGCACGUCGCCUGAAUAAUGGUGCAUGGAAUAAUGGAAUAGGACCUCGGUUCUAUUUUGCUGGUUUUCGGAACACGAGGUAAUGAUUAAGAGGGACAGACGGGGGCAUCCGUAUUGCGGUGUUAGAGGUGAAAUUCUUGGAUCAUCGCAAGACGAACAACUGCGAAAGCAUUUGCCAAGCAUGUUUUCAUUAG